UCAUAUGCUUGUCUCAAAGAUUAAGCCAUGCAUGUCUAAGUAUUAGCAAUUAUACCGCGAAACUGCGAAUGGCUCAUUAUAUAAGUUAUAGUUUAUUUGAUAGCACCUUACUACAUGGAUAACUGUGGUAAUUCUAGAGCUAAAACAUGCUAAAAAUCCCGACUUCGGAAGGGAUGUGUUUAUUAGAUUAAAAACCAAUGCCCUUCGGGGCUGCUUGGUGAUUCAUAAUAACCUCUCGAAUCGCACGGCCUUGCGCCGGCGAUGGUUCAUUCAAAUUUCUUCCCUAUCAACUUUCGAUGCGAAGGUAUUGUCUUCGCAUGGUUACAACGGGUAACGGAGGGUUAGGGCUCGACCCCGGAGAAGGAGCCUGAGAAACGGCUACUACAUCCAAGGAAGGUAGCAGGCGCGCAAAUUACCCAAUCCCGACACGGGGAGGUAGUGACAAUAAAUACUGAUACAGGGCUCUUUUGGGUCUUGUAAUUGGAAUGAGUACAAUUUAAAUCCCUUAACGAGGAACAAUUGGAGGGCAAGUCUGGUGCCAGCAGCCGCGGUAAUUCCAGCUCCAAUAGCGUAUAUUAAAGUUGUUGUGGUUAAAAAGCUCGUAGUUGAACCUUGGGCCUGGCUGGCCGGUCCCCCUCACCGGGUGCACUGGUCCGGCCGGGCCUUUCCCUCUGUGGAACCGCAUGCCCUUCACUGGGUGUGCCGGGGAAACAGGACUUUUACUUUGAAAAAAUUAGAGUGCUCCAGGCAGGCCUAUGCUCGAAUACAUUAGCAUGGAAUAAUAGAAUAGGACGUGUGGUUCUAUUUUGUUGGUUUCUAGGACCGCCGUAAUGAUUAAUAGGGACAGUCGGGGGCAUCAGUAUUCAAUUGUCAGAGGUGAAAUUCUUGGAUCUAUUGAAGACUAACUACUGCGAAAGCAUUUUGCCAAGGAUGUUUUCAUUGAUAAGGAACGAAAGUUAGGGGAUCGAAGACGGUCAGAUACCGUCGUAGUCUUAACUAUAAACUAUGCCGACUAGGGAUCGGACGGUGUUUAUACUUGACCCGUUCGGCACCUUUCGAGAAAUCAAAGUGCUUGGGCUCCAGGGGGAGUAUGGUCGCAAGGCUGAAACUUAAAGAAAUUGACGGAAGGGCACCACCAGGGGUGGGAUGCGGCUUAAUUUGACUCAACACGGGGAAACUCACCAGGUCCAGACACAAUGAGGAUUGACAGAUUGAGAGCUCUUUCUUGAUUUUGUGGGUGGUGGUGCAUGGCCGUUCUUAGUUGGUGCAGUGAUUUGUCAGCUUANNUGCGAUAACGAACGAGACCUUCUUCUGCUAAAUAGCCCGAACUGCUUUGGUAGUCCGCCGGCUUCUUAGAGAGACUAUCGGCUCAAGCCGAUGGAAGUUGGAGGCAAUAACAGGUCUGUGAUGCCCUUAGAUGUUCUGGGCCGCACGCGCGCUACACUGACAGAGCCAGCGAGUAUCUCCUUGGCCGAAAGGUCCGGGUAAUCUUGUUAAACUCUGUCGUGCUGGGGAUAGAGCAUUGCAAUUAUUGCUCUUCAACGAGGAAUCCCUAGUAAGCGCAAGUCAUCAGCUUGCGUUGAUUACGUCCCUGCCCUUUGUACACACCGCCCGUCGCUACUACCGAUUGAAUGGCUCAGUGAGGCCUCCGGACUGGCCCAGAGAGGUGGGUGACUACCACUCAGGGCNGGAAAGCUGUCCAAACUCGGUCAUUUAGAGGAAGUAAAAGUCGUAACAAGGUCUCCGUU
rnacentral:rRNA from 1 species